UCAACUAUGCGACCUAAGGCCCAUUUGC
rnacentral:sRNA from 1 species